GUCACUCCUUGCGCCCCUUCCCACAACCUGCCAGACUAGGCUAUUGGUGCUGCUUCUGCCCACUUUCAGGAGAACCCUGCUCUGCACCCCAGAAAACCUCUUUGUUUUAAAAGGGAGGUGGGGGUAGAAGUAAAAGGAUGAUCACGGGAGGGAGUUGAGGGGUUAAUAUAUAUACAUACAUAUACAUAUAUAUUUUUGUAAAUAAACAGGAACUGAUUUUCUGCCUCCAUCCCACCCAUGAGGGCUGUAGGCACUACAAAAGAGCUGACUACUGAGAAUUCUGGAAAACAAGAGCACGUGACCGUCCAGGGGGAAGCAGCCAUUGUCAUCUGCCUCAAUGGACAAGGGCUUCCCGCAGUCCUGGGAAGAAGGAAGGGUGAGGGGCACUGGACCGGAAGGCCCCUGCUCUGCUCCACCCUACCCCACCCCAUGCAGCCCCAUCUUGGAAUUAGAAAGAUGCUUCACGGCUCAGAGCUGGUGUCAUCGCAUUUUCCAGCCACAUCCAACUCCCCGUCCCUAUCCUACUUCCAGUCACCCACUAGGACCUUCCUGCAAGAGGGCAAGCAGUGGGGAGAGCUGCUUCCAAGGUGCUUGCUGCCCUGCCCACCAUCACUGUAAUAAAAUAGAGGUUGGCUCACCUCCAUUCGAA
rnacentral:sRNA from 1 species